rnacentral:lncRNA from 1 species
AGUCAACCCUGAUCCUUUUGUUUCAGAGUGAAUGAUUUAAUCAUCUGAUAUGGCAAUAACUCUGAAGAAUUCUGGCUAGGAUGUAUCAGCAAACUGCAAUGCAGGCACAGAAUUUCAAUGAAAAUGCAUUAUUCUGAAAAUCUUUCUCUACUGGAAAAUUUCCAGACCAAUAUCUCUUCAAAAGAGGAAAGGCUGUUAAAUAAUGGGCCCCAAUGCCAUUAUGAUACAAUCCAUGUAAUUCAUAUUCAAGAUUCCCCAUGAUCCAGGAAAGCCACUGAUGCUACAGCUAUUUUCUUCACAUUUCAUAUAAGAAGAAGGAGUAAAAUUGGGAAUUCCAGCGAAAUGACAUCUGCUUACAUCUGUUGGCCAUCUCUAGCUGCCAAGGAGACUGAAAAAUAUAGGGUUUUUUUGGCCAAGUAUGUUGUUUAUCAGCACAAAAUUAUGGUGCUGCAAGUAAAAUUGAAUGGAAACAUAAA